UGUGCUCGCUUCAGCAGAACAUACUAAAAUUGGAAUGAUACAGAGAAAAUUAGCAUGGCCCCUGCACAUGAAGCGUUCUAUAAUAAAUAAAGUUAA
rnacentral:snRNA from 1 species